AUGGAGCUGAAGCCAGUCGCAGAUACCAGCUGGCUGCAACUGUUUAUUAAAAACACAGCACUGUGCAAACACGAAAGUGGACGUAUACGGUGUGACGCCUGCCCGGUGCUGGAAGGUUAAUUGAUGGGGUUAUCCGUAAGGAGAAGCUCUUGAUCGAAGCCCCAGUAAACGGCGGCCGUAACUAUAACGGUCCUAAGGUAGCGAAAUUCCUUGUCGGGUAAGUUCCGACCUGCACGAAUGGCGUAAUGAUGGCCAGGCUGUCUCCACCCGAGACUCAGUGAAAUUGAACUCGCUGUGAAGAUGCAGUGUACCCGCGGCAAGACGGAAAGACCCCGUGAACCUUUACUAUAGCUUGACACUGAACAUUGA
rnacentral:rRNA from 1 species